rnacentral:rRNA from 1 species
UCCAGACUCCUACGGGAGGCAGCAGUGGGGAAUAUUGCACAAUGGGCGCAAGCCUGAUGCAGCCAUGCCGCGUGUGUGAAGAAGGCCUUCGGGUUGUAAAGCACUUUCAGUAGGGAGGAAGGUGGUAGUGUUAAUAGCGCUAUCAUUUGACGUUACCUACAGAAGAAGCACCGGCUAACUCCGUGCCAGCAGCCGCGGUAAUACGGAGGGUGCGAGCGUUAAUCGGAAUUACUGGGCGUAAAGCGCAUGCAGGUGGUUUGUUAAGUCAGAUGUGAAAGCCCCGGGCUCAACCUGGGAAUUGCAUUUGAAACUGGCAAACUAGAGUACUGUAGAGGGGGGUAGAAUUUCAGGUGUAGCGGUGAAAUGCGUAGAGAUCUGAAGGAAUACCGGUGGCGAAGGCGGCCCCCUGGACAGAUACUGACACUCAGAUGCGAAAGCGUGGGGAGCAAACAGGAUUAGAUACCCUGGUAGUCCACGCCGUAAACGAUGUCUACUUGGAGGUUGUGGCCUUGAGCCGUGGCUUUCGGAGCUAACGCGUUAAGUAGACCGCCUGGGGAGUACGGUCGCAAGAUUAAAACUCAAAUGAAUUGACGGGGGCCCGCACAAGCGGUGGAGCAUGUGGUUUAAUUCGAUGCAACGCGAAGAACCUUACCUACUCUUGACAUCCAGUGAAGCCAGCGGAGACGCAGGUGUGCCUUCGGGAGCUCUGAGACAG